rnacentral:rRNA from 1 species
AUUGAACGCUGGCGGCAGGCCUAACACAUGCAAGUCGAACGGUAACAGGAAGAAGCUUGCUUCUUUGCUGACGAGUGGCGGACGGGUGAGUAAUGUCUGGGAAACUGCCUGAUGGAGGGGGAUAACUACUGGAAACGGUAGCUAAUACCGCAUAACGUCGCAAAACCAAAGAGGGGGACCUUCGGGCCUCUUGCCAUCGGAUGUGCCCAGAUGGGAUUAGCUAGUAGGUGGGGUAACGGCUCACCUAGGCGACGAUCCCUAGCUGGUCUGAGAGGAUGACCAGCCACACUGGAACUGAGACACGGUCCAGACUCCUACGGGAGGCAGCAGUGGGGAAUAUUGCACAAUGGGCGCAAGCCUGAUGCAGCCAUGCCGCGUGUAUGAAGAAGGCCUUCGGGUUGUAAAGUACUUUCAGCGGGGAGGAAGGGAGUAAAGUUAAUACCUUUGCUCAUUGACGUUACCCGCAGAAGAAGCACCGGCUAACUCCGUGCCAGCAGCCGCGGUAAUACGGAGGGUGCAAGCGUUAAUCGGAAUUACUGGGCGUAAAGCGCACGCAGGCGGUUUGUUAAGUCAGAUGUGAAAUCCCCGGGCUCAACCUGGGAACUGCAUCUGAUACUGGCAAGCUUGAGUCUCGUAGAGGGGGGUAGAAUUCCAGGUGUAGCGGUGAAAUGCGUAGAGAUCUGGAGGAAUACCGGUGGCGAAGGCGGCCCCCUGGACGAAGACUGACGCUCAGGUGCGAAAGCGUGGGGAGCAAACAG